rnacentral:rRNA from 1 species
AUGGGGUCACCGGCGGCUGCUCGUCAUCUCGUGAGGGCGCCGGCUACAUCCAAAUCUCUGGUUCGGCCAUGGAUCGGGCCUCUUCCUCCCCCCAGAAUCUCUCCCACCCGAACCCUGGGCGAUGCCUUGCCUUUGGCCGGUCUGGCGAGGGCGACGGCGUUCAUGCAGCCCGCGACGUCGACCACGCCGUCGUCUGGUGUUUCGCCGGCAGAGUCGGCGCGAUUGAUGGGCCUGGGCCCACUCCCAGCCUCAGGGACAAGCUUCGAUCCAACCCUAGUCUACCUCGUUCUUUCCUGGCCGCCGUUUGCUCGGGGAUGGCCCGUGAUGCGUCCGCACCGCCAGGCUUCGGGUUGCCUCGACCUGCAGCCGCCGCGCCCAACCCCGCUGACGGUUCCUCGUCGGGCGGCGCCCCUGGCUUCGCGCCGGGGGUGUUCCCUCCCGUCAUGCCUUCUUCCUCUUCUACAGGUCCCAUGCCGAUUCCCCAACAGCCUACAGCGCCGGGGCAGCAGCUACAUCACAUGUACCAGAUGCCGCAGCAGUUUUUUCAGCAGCAGCCGAUGUAUCAUGCGUCGCCGGGGUAUAUGCAGCAGAUGGCACCGGUGUACCAAUAUCAACCAGCCGGACCUCCAUUGCAACAGAACCAAGGCCCCAAUGCUGUCCAUCCUAUGGCUUUUAACGCCGUCCUGGCAAACUCGGCGACCGGAGUCCAGACAGGAACUAUCCGUCCUAGGAAACCGAAGGGUGGAAAAGGUAACCGGCCUAAGAACCGUGCCGGAAACGCCCCGUUUAUCGCUCCUCCUCCCACUCUUCCUUAUCAUGUUGUGCAAGGCGCUACGGCCUCGGUCCCGGGGACUAAUGUGA